GGGACAUGUUGAACUCGGCUUGAUCCCAGGAAUCCAGCCACACCUCAUUUUCGAAAGUUGGCCAUACGUUUCAAAGAAACGGCAGUAGAGCCUGAGGUGGACAUCAUGUCGUCCAGCUGUCUUCAGAGACUGACGUCAUCUCUGCUGCUUCUGGGCCUUCUUCUGGUGUGUCUAGAGGGGGGUGCUGCUCUGGAGUUGACUCCCUCUGUCUCUGAAUUGGUCCUCAACCAGAACUCUUCCGUCACACUCGUGAGUCCAUCAAAGUACUGCUAACUGCCUGAUAAAUAGCAUACCACACAACUACUGCUGACUGAGUAUAAGUACCACCAUCAUCUUCAUCAUCAUGUGUGUGUAUAAGUACCAGAGUACUGCUGACUUGCAGGCAUCACAUUCACAAUGAGUGAAUAUUUGCAAAAAAG